rnacentral:rRNA from 1 species
CAGCCGCCGCGGUAAUACGGAGGGUCCGAGCGUUAUCCGGAAUUAUUGGGUUUAAAGGGUCCGCAGGCGGGCAAUUAAGUCAGGGGUGAAGUGGUACGGCUCAACCGUAGCACUGCCCUUGAUACUGGUUGUCUUGAGUCAUAGUGAAGUGGCCGGAAUAUGUAGUGUAGCGGUGAAAUGCAUAGAUAUUACAUAGAACACCGAUUGCGAAGGCAGGUCACUAACUAUCGACUGACGCUGAUGGACGAAAGCGUGGGGAGCGAACGGGAUUAGAUACCCCGGUAGUCCACGCCGUAAACGAUGGAUACUAGCUGUCCGCUGCCUUGAGCAGUGGGCGGCCCAGCGAAAGUGAUAAGUAUCCCACCUGGGGAGUACGUUCGCAAGAAUGAAACUCAAAGGAAUUGACGGGGGCCCGCACAAGCGGUGGAGCAUGAGGGUUAAUUCGAUGAUACGCGAGGAACCUUACCAGGGCUUAAAUGCAUAAUGACAGGUCUAGAGAUAGACUUUUCUUCGGACAUUUUGCAAGGUGCUGCAUGGUUGUCGUCAGCUCGUGCCGUGAGGUGUCAGGUUAAGUCCUAUAACGAGCGCAACCCCUGCCGUCAGUUGCCAGCAAGUAAAGUUGGGGACUCUGACGGGACUGCCGGUGCAAACCGCGAGGAAGGUGGGGACGACGUCAAAUCAUCACGGCCCUUACGUCCUGGGCUACACACGUGCUACAAUGGCCGGUACAGCGAGCAGCCACUCCGCAAGGAGGAGCGAAUCUAUAAAACCGGUCACAGUUCGGAUCGGGGUCUGCAACUCGACCCCGUGAAGCUGGAAUCGCUAGUAAUCGGAUAUCAGCCAUGAUCCGGUGAAUACGUUCCCGGGCCUUGUACACACCGCCCGUCAAGCCAUGGAAGCCGGGAGUGCCUGAAGUCCGUCACCGUAAGGAGCGGCCUAGGGCAAAAUCGGUAACUAGGGCUAAGUCGUAACAAGGUAGCCGUA